GUUGAAAUACCGAUUCCCGUACGAUCACCGAAGUUAAGCAACAUCUAGUCUGGUCGGUACCUAGAUGGGUGACCGCUUGGAAAUGACAGAUGUUGUAAG